GACGUAGGGCGCGAGCGUUGUCCGGAUUUAUUGGGCGUAAAGAGCUCGUAGGUGGUUUGUCGCGUUGUUCGUGAAAACUCACAGCUCAACUGUGGGCGUGCGGGCGAUACGGGCAGACUGGAGUACUGCAGGGGAGACUGGAAUUCCUGGUGUAGCGGUGAAAUGCGCAGAUAUCAGGAGGAACACCGGUGGCGAAGGCGGGUCUCUGGGCCGAUACUGACGCUGAGGAGCGAAAGCGUGGGGAGCGAACAGG
rnacentral:rRNA from 1 species